GACGAACGCUGGCGGCGUGCCUAAUACAUGCAAGUCGAACGCAGUGGGGACGGGUGAGUAACACGUGGGUGACCUCCCAUCAGAGGGGAUAACACUUGGAAACAGGUGCUAAAACGAUACUGAUGGAUGGACCCGCGGUGGAUUAGCUAGUUGGUGAGGGAACGGCUCACCAAGGACACGAUGCAUAGCCGACAUGAGAGGUGGAUCGGCCACACUGGGAUUGAGACACGGUCCAGACUCCUACGGGAGGCAGCAGUAGGGAAUCUUCGGCAAUGGACGAAAGUCGGACCGAGCAACGCCGCGUGAGUGAAGAAGGUUUUCGGAUCGUAAAACUCUGUUGUUAGAGAAGCGGUAUCUACCCAGAAAGCCACGGCUAACUACGUGCCAGCAGCCGCGGUAAUAC
rnacentral:rRNA from 1 species